rnacentral:rRNA from 1 species
ACCGGCAGCUCAAGUGGUGGCCAUUAUUAUUGGGCCUAAAGCGUUCGUAGCCGGUUUGAUAAGUCUCUGGUGAAAUCCCGCAGCUUAACUGUGGGACUUGCUGGAGAUACUAUCAGACUUGAGGUCGGAAGAGGUUAGGGGUACUCCCAGGGUAGGGGUGAAAUGCGAAAAUCCAGGGAGGAGCACCUGUGGCGAAGGCGCCUAACUGGAACGAACCUGACGGUGAGUAACGAAAGCCAGGGGAGCAAACCG